rnacentral:rRNA from 1 species
GAUGAACGCUGGCGGCGUGCCUAAUACAUGCAAGUCGAGCGAACGGACGAGAAGCUUGCUUCUCUGAUGUUAGCGGCGGACGGGUGAGUAACACGUGGAUAACCUACCUAUAAGACUGGGAUAACUUCGGGAAACCGGAGCUAAUACCGGAUAAUAUUUUGAACCGCAUGGUUCAAAAGUGAAAGACGGUCUUGCUGUCACUUAUAGAUGGAUCCGCGCUGCAUUAGCUAGUUGGUAAGGUAACGGCUUACCAAGGCAACGAUGCAUAGCCGACCUGAGAGGGUGAUCGGCCACACUGGAACUGAGACACGGUCCAGACUCCUACGGGAGGCAGCAGUAGGGAAUCUUCCGCAAUGGGCGAAAGCCUGACGGAGCAACACCGCGUGAGUGAUGAAGGUCUUCGGAUCGUAAAACUCUGUUAUUAGGGAAGAACAUAUGUGUAAGUAACUGUGCACAUCUUGACGGUACCUAAUCAGAAAGCCACGGCUAACUACGUGCCAGCAGCCGCGGUAAUACGUAGGUGGCAAGCGUUAUCCGGAAUUAUUGGGCGUAAAGCGCGCGUAGGCGGUUUUUUAAGUCUGAUGUGAAAGCCCACGGCUCAACCGUGGAGGGUCAUUGGAAACUGGAAAACUUGAGUGCAGAAGAGGAAAGUGGAAUUCCAUGUGUAGCGGUGAAAUGCGCAGAGAUAUGGAGGAACACCAGUGGCGAAGGCGACUUUCUGGUCUGUAACUGACGCUGAUGUGCGAAAGCGUGGGGAUCAAACAGGAUUAGAUACCCUGGUAGUCCACGCCGUAAACGAUGAGUGCUAAGUGUUAGGGGGUUUCCGCCCCUUAGUGCUGCAGCUAACGCAUUAAGCACUCCGCCUGGGGAGUACGACCGCAAGGUUGAAACUCAAAGGAAUUGACGGGGACCCGCACAAGCGGUGGAGCAUGUGGCUUAAUUCGAAGCAACGCGAAGAACCUUACCAAAUCUUGACAUCCUUUGACAACUCUAGAGAUAGAGCCUUCCCCUUCGGGGGACAAAGUGACAGGUGGUGCAUGGUUGUCGUCAGCUCGUGUCGUGAGAUGUUGGGUUAAGUCCCGCAACGAGCGCAACCCUUAAGCUUAGUUGCCAUCAUUAAGUUGGGCACUCUAAGUUGACUGCCGGUGACAAACCGGAGGAAGGUGGGGAUGACGUCAAAUCAUCAUGCCCCUUAUGAUUUGGGCUACACACGUGCUACAAUGGACAAUACAGAGGGCAGCGAAACCGCGAGGUCAAGCAAAUCCCAUAAAGUUGUUCUCAGUUCGGAUUGUAGUCUGCAACUCGACUACAUGAAGCUGGAAUCGCUAGUAAUCGUAGAUCAGCAUGCUACGGUGAAUACGUUCCCGGGUCU